CCUACGGGUGGCAGCAGUGAGGAAUAUUGGUCAAUGGACGAGAGUCUGAACCAGCCAAGUAGCGUGAAUGAUGACUUCCCUAUGGGUUGUAAACUUCUUUUAUAUGGAAAUAAAAUUUACUAUGUCUGAGAUUUUGUAUGUACCAUAUGAAUAAGGAUCGGCUAACUCCGUGCCAGCAGCCGCGGUAAUACGGGGGAUCCGAGCGUUAUCCGGAUUUGUUGGGUUUAAAGGGAGCGUAGGUGGAUUGUUAAGUCAGUUGUGACAGUUUACGGCUCAACCGUAAAAUUGCAGUUGAAACGGGGAGUCUUGAGUGCAGUAGAGGUAGGCGGAAUGCGUGGUGUAGCGGUGAAAUGCUUAGAUAUCACGAAGAACUCCGAUUGCGAAGGCAGCUCACUGGACUGUAACUGACGCUGAGGCUCGAAAGUGUGGGUAUCAAACAGGAUUAGAUACCCCUGUAGUC
rnacentral:rRNA from 1 species